rnacentral:rRNA from 1 species
UACGAAGGGGGCUAGCGUUGCUCGGAAUCACUGGGCGUAAAGGGCGCGUAGGCGGCCAUUCAAGUCGGAGGUGAAAGCCCAGGGCUCAACCCUGGAAUUGCCUUCGAUACUGUUUGGCUAGAGACCGGAAGAGGUAAGUGGAACUGCGAGUGUAGAGGUGAAAUUCGUAGAUAUUCGCAAGAACACCAGUGGCGAAGGCGGCUUGCUGGGCCGGUACUGACGCUGAGGCGCGAAAGCGUGGGGAGCAAACAGG